UUCGGGUUGAUAAUAUUUUCUU
rnacentral:miRNA from 1 species